AGCUGUGAGCAGAUCAGAAGCACGUGAGGUUGAUAACAUCCUUUUAAAGAAGGAGGGGUAGCAACAAAUUGUGCCUGAACCACAAACUUCCUUAUCUUUGAACUUUUCUCAGGCUGCUAUAUGAAUUGUCUUGACAAGCAAGCGUCUUGCUCUGGUUCUUGCAGCAGUAAAACUCACAGUAAAACUGGGCCGCCGUGGGAAAUUUCUUGACUGUGGAAGGAUCUGAGGUCUCUGUCUUGAUUUCUCGAACAAUCCUGUAGACGCAGCCUCUCCAACGUCUUUGAGCGGAGAGAACAAGAUAUCCAAGGCCGUGGGAUUUAUUGAGCCACCCAAAGACUCCAGAGAAUGCCAGCUGUGGAUAAAAUACCUUUUGAGGAAGGAGAAACAAAACAUUUUGGCAGCUCCUGUACUUUCUCCCCCCCCCAAAAUUCUUGAUUUAUUUAUUUAUUUAUUUGUAUUGCCGAAGAUGGAUUAUUCUCCCACUACCACUGGAAUAUGUUUUUGUGGUCAUUUUUUUCUUUUGGUGGAUGCAGGGGGGAAAAAACCCAGUCAUCUGAACUUGUGACUCCCUCCAACCCCUUUUCCAUAUGGUUUAGGUGUGUUACCCAGAUGCUCCACCAGCGAACCUGAAAGCUGCACUUAAAGUUGGACUGAAAUUGAAAUCUCUGGGAGAAAUUACUUUUGCUUUUUCCUGGAGAUCAUAAUGUGAAGAAAAGGAGAUUAAAAUAACCAAGACUAAUACCCCAUUUGAAGAUGCCGCUAAGACAUUUAUGAGCUGGAAUGGUUAAAACCCGCUUCUUGACUUACAUUCAAGAUCUCUGGUCUCCAAACAAAGUGGAAGCCAGUCUCUUGAAGCUGAAGAUCAAAGGUUUCCAGUGCUUAGGAAGGAAAGACUUUGCUACAUCUUCGGUUUCUAAGGGUCUGCUAGGAGCUCAAGGUGGCAUACAUCACUCCCCUUCCGUUUUACUCGGAGAUAGUUCAGGCUGGAAAAUAGUGACUGGCCUGAGUUCUGCAUCCAGAAUGGGGAACGCUGUGAGGUGGGACAUUCUAGCUGCUGUUGCCGACACAACUUGCUCUUCCUGCCUACAGCCCCUGAGUACUUCUUCAGCGUGGCCUUCCAGCUUGUCGCAUCAGAUGCCAGCCCUUCCAUGGGAGCAUAGAUCGUCUUAUGGCACUUCCGUGGAAUCGAUCUUUUCAUCGUGGCAGCACCUAUUCUCUGGAACUCCUUUCCUUUUGAUAAUAGGCAGGCACCUUCAUUGUACUGUUUCUGAUGCCUGCUGAAAACUUUUUUGUUUAGAUAAACCUACCCAAUCAUCUAUCAUUUUUCAAUGUAUGUUGAUUUUAUCGGUAUUUUCUUAGGAAUGUUUUAUAUUGAUUUAUGUAAACAGCUCUGAGGCUUUUUAAAAAUUAAGUGGUAUAUAAAUCAUGUUAAAAUGAAAUAAAUAAAUAAAU